rnacentral:rRNA from 1 species
UGGGGAAUUUUGGACAAUGGGCGAAAGCCUGAUCCAGCAAUGCCGCGUGUGUGAAGAAGCCUUCGGGUUGUAAAGCACUUUUGUCCGGAAAGAAAUCCUUGGCUCUAAUACAGUCGGGGGAUGACGGUACCGGAAGAAUAAGCACCGGCUAACUACGUGCCAGCAGCCGCGGUAAUACGUAGGGUGCAAGCGUUAAUCGGAAUUACUGGGCGUAAAGCGUGCGCAGGCGGUUUGCUAAGACCGAUGUGAAAUCCCCGGGCUCAACCUGGGAACUGCAUUGGUGACUGGCAGGCUAGAGUAUGGCAGAGGGGGGUAGAAUUCCACGUGUAGCAGUGAAAUGCGUAGAGAUGUGGAGGAAUACCGAUGGCGAAGGCAGCCCCCUGGGCCAAUACUGACGCUCAUGCACGAAAGCGUGGGGGAGCAAACAGGAUUAGAUACCCUGGUAGUCCACGCCCUAAACGAUGUCAACUAGUUGUUGGGGAUUCAUUUCCUUAGUAACGUAGCUAACGCGUGAAGUUGACCGCCUGGGGAGUACGGUCGCAA